rnacentral:rRNA from 1 species
CCUACGGGAGGCAGCAGUGAGGAAUAUUGGACAAUGGGCGCAAGCCUGAUCCAGCCAUGCCGCGUGCAGGAAGACGCAUCUAUGGUGUGUAAACUGCUUUUGUACGGGAAGAAACACUCCCUCGUGAGGGAGCUUGACGGUACCGUAAGAAUAAGGAUCGGCUAACUCCGUGCCAGCAGCCGCGGUAAUACGGAGGAUCCAAGCGUUAUCCGGAAUCAUUGGGUUUAAAGGGUCCGUAGGCGGUUUAAUAAGUCAGUGGUGAAAGCCCAUCGCUCAACGAUGGAACGGCCAUUGAUACUGUUAGACUUGAAUUACUAGGAAGUAACUAGAAUAUGUAGUGUAGCGGUGAAAUGCUUAGAUAUUACAUGGAAUACCAAUUGCGAAGGCAGGUUACUACUAGUGGAUUGUACGCUGAUGGACGAAAGACGUGGGGAGGCGAACAGGAUUAGAUACCCUGGUAGUCCACGCCGUAAACCGAAUGGAUACUAGCUGUUGGGUCGGCAAGUUCAGUGGUGUAGAGAAGAGAGUAAGUAGUACCACCGCGGAGGUACGGUUCGGUCGAGAAGUUAGUAAGUUAACGAAGUAAGUUAGUUAGGCGNGAGAGNGCGACGACGACGACGAGGAGGAGGAG